AGUGAACGCUGGCGGUAGGCCUAACACAUGCAAGUCGAACGGCAGCACAGUAAGAGCUUGCUCUUACGGGUGGCGAGUGGCGGACGGGUGAGGAAUACAUCGGAAUCUACUUUUUCGUGGGGGAUAACGUAGGGAAACUUACGCUAAUACCGCAUACGACCUACGGGUGAAAGCAGGGGAUCUUCGGACCUUGUGCGAUUGAAUGAGCCGAUGUCGGAUUAGCUAGUUGGCGGGGUAAAGGCCCACCAAGGCGACGAUCCGUAGCUGGUCUGAGAGGAUGAUCAGCCACACUGGAACUGAGACACGGUCCAGACUCCUACGGGAGGCAGCAGUGUGGAAUAUUGGACAAUGGGCGCAAGCCUGAUCCAGCCAUACCGCGUGGGUGAAGAAGGCCUUCGGGUUGUAAAGCCCUUUUGUUGGGAAAGAAAAGCAGCAGGUUAAUACCCCGCUGUUCUGACGGUACCCAAAGAAUAAGCACCGGCUAACUUCGUG
rnacentral:rRNA from 1 species